UCGGGGAACGAUAACGGCGUCGAGCGGCGGACGGGUGAGUAAUGCCUGGGAAAUUGCCCUGAUGUGGGGGAUAACCAUUGGAAACGAUGGCUAAUACCGCAUAAUAGCUUCGGCUCAAAGAGGGGGACCUUCGGGCCUCUCGCGUCAGGAUAUGCCCAGGUGGGAUUAGCUAGUUGGUGAGGUAAUGGCUCACCAAGGCGACGAUCCCUAGCUGGUCUGAGAGGAUGAUCAGCCACACUGGAACUGAGACACGGUCCAGACUCCUACGGGAGGCAGCAGUGGGGAAUAUUGCACAAUGGGCGCAAGCCUGAUGCAGCCAUGCCGCGUGUAUGAAGAAGGCCUUCGGGUUGUAAAGUACUUUCAGCAGUGAGGAAGGUGGGUGUGUUAAUAGCGCAUUCAUUUGACGUUAGCUGCAGAAGAAGCACCGGCUAACUCCGUGCCAGCAGCCGCGGUAAUACGGAGGGUGCGAGCGUUAAUCGGAAUUACUGGGCGUAAAGCG
rnacentral:rRNA from 1 species